rnacentral:rRNA from 1 species
GAUGAACGCUAGCUACAGGCUUAACACAUGCAAGUCGAGGGGUAACGAGAGGAAAGCUUGCUUUCCUUGUCGACGACCGGCGCACGGGUGAGUAACGCGUAUCCAACCUGCCCCCAACUAGGGAAUAACCUUGCGAAAGUAAGACUAAUACCCUAUAAUUUCCUCAGAUGUCAUCUGACGAGGAAUAAAGAUUUAUCGGUUGUGGAUGGGGAUGCGUCUGAUUAGCUUGUUGGCGGGGUAACGGCCCACCAAGGCAACGAUCAGUAGGGGUUUUGAGAGGAAGGUCCCCCCCACUGGAACUGAGAAACGGUCCAAACUCCUACGGGAGGCAGCAGUGAGGAAUAUUGGUCAAUGGGCGGAAGCCUGAACCAGCCAAGUAGCGUGCAGGAUGACGGCCCUAUGGGUUGUAAACUGCUUUUAUACAGGAAUAAAGUUAGCCACGUGUGGUUAUUUGUAGGUACUGUAUGAAUAAGGACCGGCUAAUUCCGUGCCAGCCGCCGCGGUAA